AUUGAACGCUGGCGGCAGGCCUAACACAUGCAAGUCGAGCGGAUGAAGGGAGCUUGCUCCUGGAUUCAGCGGCGGACGGGUGAGUAAUGCCCAGGAAUCUGCCUGGUAGUGGGGGAUAACGUCCGGAAACGGGCGCUAAUACCGCAUACGUCCUGAGGGUGAAAGGGGGGGAUCUUCGGACCUCACGCUAUCAGAUGAGCCUAGGUCGGAUUAGCUAGUUGGUGGGGUAAAGGCCUACCAAGGCGACGAUCCGUAACUGGUCUGAGAGGAUGAUCGGUCACACUGGAACUGAGACACGGUCCAGACUCCUACGGGAGGCAGCAGUGGGGAAUAUUAGGCAAUGGGCGAAAGCCUGAUCCAGCCAUGCCGCGUGUGUGAAGAAGGUCUUCGGAUUGUAAAGCACUUUUAGUUGGGAGGAAGGGCUGUAAGUUAAUACCUUGCUGUCUUGACGUUACCAACAGAAUAAGCACCGGCUAACUUCGUG
rnacentral:rRNA from 1 species